rnacentral:rRNA from 1 species
CAGUCGCCACGGGAAUACGAAGGGGGCUAGCGUUGUUCGGAUUAACUGGGCGUAAAGGGCGCGUAGGCGGGUUUUUAAGUCAGAGGUGAAAUCCCAAGGCUCAACCUUGGAACUGCCUUUGAUACUGGAAGUCUUGAGUCCGGGAGAGGUGAGUGGAACUGCGAGUGUAGAGGUGAAAUUCGUAGAUAUUCGCAAGAACACCAGUGGCGAAGGCGGCUCACUGGCCCGGUACUGACGCUGAGGCGCGAAAGCGUGGGGAGCAAACAGGAUUAGAGACCCCAGUAGUCCCUGUCUCUUAUAC